UACGUAGGGGGCUAGCGUUGUCCGGAAUCAUUGGGCGUAAAGAGCGUGUAGGCGGCCAGGUAGGUCGGUUGUGAAAACUGGAGGCUCAACCUUCAGAGGUCGACCGAAACCAUCUGGCUAGAGUCCGGGAGAGGAGAGUGGAAUUCCUGGUGUAGCGGUGAAAUGCGCAGAUAUCAGGAAGAACACCCGUGGCGAAAGCGGCUCUCUGGAACGGUACUGACGCUGAGACGCGAAAGCGUGGGGAGCGAACAGGAU
rnacentral:rRNA from 1 species